CGGCGGCCGUGGCGGCCAGCGCCCUGGGUCCGCAGCUCUAAGGCUCCCAGCGGGCGCUGCCCAUGGGCCGGGCCCAGGCAUCGGGUGCGCAGGGAGCCGCUAAGCCUGUUGCCCACAAAGGCAAGACCGGGUACAUUCAUAGCCUGCACAGGCACAGCUUCUGAGCUCAGGCCUAAGGAAGCCCCGACAUCCUCACAGCAUCCCCUCAGACACCAGAGGACACAAGAGACCAAAACUAGAGUGAGGGCAGACUCACUCAGGGAGCUGGGGUCAGGCUCUGCCACAGGAGCAGCAGGGGUGGUGUGAGCAGGUGAGACUCAGAGUUCCUGGAGGACCCUGUGGUGAGGCCACAUGACACCAUGAUUGAGAACAAGGGUCUGUUUAAACAGUCACAGGCUUGGCCAAGACACAUCAAGGCAGGCAUGCCCCAGACCCUGAGCACCUCCAACAUGGUCACCCCAGGCAGCCUCAGCCCACCUCCUCCAGAGCCCACAGAUGGCGAGCAGGCCCAGCAACCCCUCCUGCAAGGAGCUCCAUCCUCAGCCUCCCUGGAAACACUGAUCCAGCACCUGGUGCCCACAGCUGACUACUACCCCGAGAAAGCCUACAUCUUCACCUUCCUGUUGAGCUCUCGCCUCUUCAUUGAGCCCCGGGACCUCCUGGCCCAGGUUUGCCACCUGUGCAUAGAGCAGCAGCAGCUGGACAAGCCGGUGCUGGACAAGGCGCGGGUCCGGAAGUUUGGUCCCAAACUGCUCCAGCUGUUGGCCGAGUGGACAGAGACCUUCCCACGGGACUUCCAGGAGGAGUCGGCCAUCGGGCACCUGAAGGACGUGGUGGGCCUCAUUGCCCCCUGUGACGAGGCAUACCGGAAGAGGAUGCAGCAGCUCCUGCAGGCACUGCACCAGAGGCUAGCAGUCCUGGGUCAGGGCCCAGAAGGUCUGAUGGGCGCCGACAAGCCCAUCUCCUACAGGACCAAGCCGCUGGCCUCCAUCCACAGGGAGCUCCUUGGCAUCUGUAGUGACCCCUACACGCUGGCCCAGCAGCUGACCCACGUGGAGCUGGGGAGCAGGUCACUUCAGUUACCUGGUGUUCAGCCUGCUUCCCUUGAACGUCAGCCCCCACAUGCAGCGCUCCCCAACCCCAUGGACCAAAAGGAAGGACUGCCUCUUUCAGGGAUGGUACUGAGCCCUGUGACAACUCAGGACAAGUUCUCCACGCCCCAGAGUAGGUGGAGAGAGACAUUGGGGGGUGGCCUGGGAUAUCAGGGAGCCCAACAGGAGGACCCUCCCCAGACCUGCCCUCCCCUUCGCCUCUUCUCCCUUCCCCUGCAGGAACGGCUGCGACACAUCGGGCCUGAAGAGUUUGUCCAGGCUUUUGUGAACAAGGACCCUCUAGCCAGCACAAAGCCUUGUUUCAGUGACAAGACUAAUAACCUGGAGGCUUAUGUGAAAUGGUUCAACAGAUUGUGCUACCUCGUGGCAACCGAGAUCUGCAUGCCAGCCAAGAAGAAACAGAGGGCCCAGGUGAUCGAGUUCUUCAUUGAUGUGGCCCGAGAGUGCUUCAACAUCGGCAACUUCAACUCUCUGAUGGCCAUCAUCUCGGGCAUGAACAUGAGCCCUGUCUCCAGGCUGAAGAAGACCUGGGCCAAAGUGAAGACGGCCAAGUUUUUCAUCCUCGAGCACCAGAUGGACCCAACAGGGAACUUUUGCAACUACAGGACAGCCCUGCGAGGGGCUGCCCACCGCUCCCUGACCGCCCACAGCAGCCGGGAAAAGAUCGUCAUUCCCUUCUUCAGUUUGCUCAUCAAAGACAUCUACUUCCUCAACGAGGGCUGCGCCAACCGCCUUCCCAAUGGACAUGUCAACUUUGAGAUCCCCGAGAUCACUGGUAGGUGGGAAAGAGGCUUUCCUGGGGCCAGUCACUCACACUCACAGGGACCUCCAGUCACUGGGGUGCCUCCAUUCUGUGUCUCUGUGACCCUGGCAGAAAUUUUUGGAGCUGGCCAAGCAGAUUGGAGAGUUCAUCACAUGGAAACAAGUGGAGUGUCCCUUCAAGCAAGACCCCAGCAUCACCCACUACCUGUACACCGCCCCCAUCUUCAGUGAGGAUGGUCUUUAUUUGGCUUCUUAUGAAAGUGAAAACCCAGAGAACCAGACAGAAAAAGAGAGGUGGAAAUCUCUAAGAUCUUCUAUUUUGGGGAAGACAUGAGAAGCGCUGAGUGGAAGGAGAGGAAGAGAUGGAGGCAGCAGAAGCCUUCUGCAGCCCUGCCCCAGAUGGCCCCAUGGGCAGAAGCAGAGGCAGUGCCUCACUGUUUUGCAAACCGAGACCCCAUGGCCCGGCACCCACCAUAGUGGCCACAUGGGCCCAGGAGAUCUUUUGUGGGACCCCAGCCCUGGCAGGGCCCAGGGAUUCCAGAUACCUCGAGGACACCCUGCCUUCAGGACUGUGGGGGUCAUGUUGCUGGUCAAUCUGUCCGUCCUCGGUGAGGACAUAGCACUGCCCCAGAGGGUCAGGCAACUGCAGUCUUGUGCUCCCCGUGAGUGAUGUGUGCCUCUUUGACCAACGCCCAUAGUCUGGCACCAGUGGCUUGGAGCCUCUGCAGCUGCAGCAGGCAUCACGGUGUGACAUGGGGUGUGUCUGUGCCCACCAGGGGCCCUGAGCUUCUGUCAGUGGACCUGUCCCCUACCCCUCCCAGGGGGC